rnacentral:misc_RNA from 1 species
ACCAUGCAAAAUCUGUCUUGUGUAGGCAGAUACUUGCGAGUCUCGAAGGUGAUAUUUCUGGUAAAGGUUCAACAGAGAUCCUUGUGUGACCAGCUCAAGAAAGAUGUACAAUUUUGAAUCAUUCUUAUCAGUUCCAUAAUAUUGGACUAUGUUCUCAUGUUCGAACUGUCUCAGAAGUUCAAUCUCCUGCUCAAGUUGGUAUAGACUUUGUCUUCCCCCAUCACCUUGAUCAAGUAAUGACACCUCCUUCACGGCAAAAAAGAAACCAUCAUGUGAAAUUCCUUCAUAGACAGAUCCAAAUGAUCCACGUCCUAGGAGACCUCCCUUUUCCCAUCCUGUAAUGAAGCGUGUGAAUCUCCCAUUUGGUGAGAUGAUUGACAUACGCUCUGUCGUGCAGCUGGAAGAAUCAUCAUCAUUUGAAGUAUUGGUGAAAGAACUGGACUGAGAUAGUAAGCUACUCACUCCUAAUAUCCUCCUAGUACUGUUCUCCUCAUCCUCCUCAUCCUUCAUAUAUUCUUCAUCACCAUUAACAACCUCAGAUCUACAAAUCCCAUGACCCACCAUUCCUGAUUCCCUAUGAUCUUCCGGGCCAAAGGCCCUAAAAAUAUCCCAAGUGGAGCAUGCAUCAUCAACAAUUGGCAGUGACAUGACGGGUGGAGGAGCGAGAAGAGGCGGCCUUAAACCCUUGAUCCCUCCUCCACCACCACCUCCAAGUAAACUUACAGGUUUAUUUCCAUUCGAAACAACUCCAUUCACUGUAACACCAUCACCUAAUCUAGAAUCCGCUCCAGACACAUCAUUAAUCACUCUAGCAGCACAAACAACUCCACCUCUGUCAUAAUUUAACUCGACUGACCGAACUUGCAGCUGAAUUACAUCACUAGCUUUAGAACUAUCCGAAUAUCGACAACUAUCCUCCUUAAUUAAAUUACUACCUAGAUCAACCACCCUUCCAGAACCCGAACACUGAUUACCUCCUCCUCCACAACAACUACCGUUACUCUUAACAUCAAUCACAUGAUUAUCCGAUGAGGAACGCACAAUCAUAGCAUCCCAUUCCUCAGUAGGUAUAGCGAAAUCAUCAGGACCAGAAAACCCCAACUUCUCAAAAAAUUCAAUAAACUCACCAUCUUUCCCUUGGAUCCGAAAGCUCUUAUCCCCGCUAAACUCAAGCAUAGAAGGCUCGUAGUCGAUAUUCUUCCUCGCGUUCAGCCUCUGUAGCUUCGGCUUCGGCUUAACGGAAGAUUCGGCGCGUUUAUGCUUAGAAUCGACGCGCUUCUUCUGAGCAAAGAUUCCUGGCAAUCGAUACAUUGCCGGAUUCAGCUCGAUCCAUGUAUUAGCAAUAUAACAGCGGCGAUAAUCGGAGGAAAAUAGCAGAAAUUAGGGAUAGGGUUUUUUGCCGGGAAGAUUGGAUAGAGGAAAAAGGGAAAGAGGAAGGAAAGGAGAGAGAAAUGAGUGGUAAACGCCGUCCGUCAAAUGUAGGACCGAAGGCGACACGAA